AACGAACGCUGGCGGCAUGCCUAACACAUGCAAGUCGAACGAACCCUUCGGGGUUAGUGGCGCACGGGUGCGUAACGCGUGGGAAUCUGCCCUUGGCUUCGGAAUAACAGUUAGAAAUGACUGCUAAUACCGGAUGAUGUCUUCGGACCAAAGAUUUAUCGGCCAGGGAUGAGCCCGCGUAGGAUUAGGUAGUUGGUGAGGUAAAGGCUCACCAAGCCGACGAUCCUUAGCUGGUCUGAGAGGAUGAUCAGCCACACUGGGACUGAGACACGGCCCAGACUCCUACGGGAGGCAGCAGUGGGGAAUAUUGGACAAUGGGCGCAAGCCUGAUCCAGCAAUGCCGCGUGAGUGAUGAAGGCCUUCGGGUCGUAAAGCUCUUUUACCAGGGAUGAUAAUGACAGUACCUGGAGAAUAAGCUCCGGCUAACUCCGUGCCAGCAGCCGCCGUAACAC
rnacentral:rRNA from 1 species